rnacentral:rRNA from 1 species
UACGUACCGUACGAACGUUAUUCGGAAUUACUGGGCUUAAAGGGUUUGUAGGCGGCCUUGUAAGUCAGGUGUGAAAUCCCUCGGCUCAACCGAGGAAUAGCGCUUGAUACUGCAAGGCUUGAGGGAGACAGGGGUAAGCGGAACUGAUGGUGGAGCGGUGAAAUGCGUUGAUAUCAUCAGGAACACCGGUGGCGAAAGCGGCUUACUGGGUCUCUUCUGACGCUGAGGAACGAAAGCUAGGGUAGCGAACAGG